rfam:Dendroctonus ponderosae Seq01021032, whole genome shotgun sequence.
CCUUCGAUAGCUCAGUUGGUAGAGCGGUGGACUGUAGUUGGCAACUGAAAUAGAUAUCCAUAGGUCGCUGGUUCAAAUCCGGCUCGAAGGA